rnacentral:RNase_P_RNA from 1 species
CGGGUUGACGGAGGGAAUCGCGGCAGGUUUCUUGCCUGUCGAGGAAAGUCCGCACUCCAAAGGGCGACGAUGCCGGUUAACGGUCGGGCAGGGCAACCUGACGGCAAGUGCAACAGAGAGCAGAUUGCAUCGCGAGAUGUGAGGGUGAAAGGGUGCGGUAAGAGCGCACCGGCAGCGGCAGUAAUGCGGCUGGCCAGGCAAACCCCAUCGGGAGCAAGGUGAAGCAGGCGCCGGGGAGCGGCCCGUUCCGCAGAAAGCGCCGGGUACACCGCUAGAGGUCGGCGGCAACGCCGAUCCCAGAUAGAUGAUUCCCCGACGACAGAAUGCGGCUUAUGAGGUUGACCCGGCAA